GGCAACAAAUGUGUCAAGCUCCAAUUUCAGACUUCUGGAUACUCACAUGCUGAGUCCUGAUUCUAAGGUUUUGUGUCUGACGCUCUGGCUACACAAUAAAGCUGAUGUUGGUGCAGCUGUAGCGCUGCUGUUACAGAUGCUCUCCACCAAUGGGAGAAAUCUCUUCCCUAGGACUUUAUUAGUCCAGCCCCCACAAGUGGCGGUGGCUAUGUUGGCAGGCAAAGCUCUCCUGCCGAUGUAGUGUUAUUUCACAGGGGAGGAGGGUUUUGUAACUACAUUUCUCACCAGUGUGUAUUUUUCACACCCCUGAGAAAUAUAGUUACACCAAUAAAUGUCUUUAGUGUAGACUAGACCUUAGUUUUCUCUUGUUUUAUGUAUUUACAUCACUUCUCUUUGAAAGAUUAAAAAGUGUGACAAGAGAGUUAUUUUUCCCCAUGAUGCAAACAUUCCUAUAUAAGAAACCCCUUCCACCAACACACAUGGCAAAAGAGCCAGGGAUAUAUGAACUCACAUGUAGUGUAAGGAGUUCUGGUAGAAAACCUCCCUCCAAAGGCUGAGAUGGGAGAAUGUGUGUGAGAAAGAGUGUAUGAGAAUAUUGGCCCAGUAUAGAUUUAAAUUUUUUGUAUUUCAGAUAAACUUUGAAGCUAAGCAAAAUACGUUCUAUUUCUAUUAAAAGGAAAACUACUCGAGGAGACAAGUUGUAUAACUUUUUACCCACUUAGCCUGUAAGGGUCACUGAGUUCCCCACGUCUCUAAUUUGCCAAGGAAAGGCCUGACAUCUGUCAUAGGAUGUGUCUAACAGGGCUCUUUAAUCCGGUUCCUGUACUCCACCUCAGCAAGUGGAGUAGUGCUAAAAUCGAGAUUGCAGUUCCGAAUUAGAGGUACUGUGGACACAAUUUGACAUUAUUGGCAUCCGGGAGCUAUCCCAGAAUGCUUCCUUGUGACCACUCUGGACAACACUCUCAACUCCGAUGUACUUGCCAGGAGUUGCAGGGAGAAUGACUUUUUGGAGGAUGAAGAGGAGAAGGAGGAGGACAGUGCACAAGCGACAAGUGGGGAAUCCGUUUUCCCCUAUCAAGGUUCCCUCCCCACUCUGAACUUUAGGGUACAGAUGUGAGGACCUGAAUG